GGCCUACGGGAGGCAGCAGUAGGGAAUGGGCGUCAAUGGGGGCAAGCCUGAACGAGCAAUGCCGCGUGAACGAGGAAGGUCUUCGGAUCGUAAAGUUCUGUUGAAGGGGAAAAAGAGCGGAGAGAGGAAAUGCUUUCUGAUUGAUAUUACCCUUCGAGGAAGUCACGGCUAACUACGUGCCAGCAGCCGCGGUAAUACGUAGGUGGCGAGCGUUAUCCGGAAUGAUUGGGCGUAAAGGGUGCGUAGGCGGCCUGCUAAGUCUGGAGUGAAAGGUACCGGCUCAACCGGUACAGGCUCUGGAAACU
rnacentral:rRNA from 1 species